rnacentral:lncRNA from 1 species
CUCCCUCCCUCAGCCGUGCCAGCAGCGGCACAGAACUGGAAUUGCCCUGGACGGCCACAGCUCUGCAUAUCCCCCAGGAGUGUGGACAAGAAAAAAUAAACACAAUUAGAGUUCACGACAAUGGGCCCCUGAUGGAAGGUAAGCCCGGCUAGCCUCUAAGGGCUGUGCCGGCUCCCACGAACUUCCAAGGCCGAGGACGGUGCCGAGACCCAACUUCCGGUCUCAAGAAAACUUGGCGCUGCAGGAAGACAAUGACAGUACCCUCCACUGAUCUGGGGCAAGAGGAAAUUUCUGAAUGAUCCCCCCGUAGCUUUCCACGCUCCACUGGGUCUGCGAUACAAAACUUCAGAUCCUAACAGUUGGGCUUUUCAAACAAACCAGUUUUUAAAAAUGAAUGUGGCUUACCCCCAACAUUCCAGCUGAUCAAAAGUACUUGUUUAGAAAAAUAAGUUUAGGAAUGAAGUGGAAACAAGGCCUUUGAAAUGCAGCUUAACCUAAAUAGCACAUUUUAGACUUUUCCUCCCCACUGCACAUUCUUUAUGGUGUAGGGGCCAGGGAGCCUGCAGUCUUCACCCCUCCUGAGCCCUCCUUGGCCUCGGGCUUCCUCUCCCCUGCUGCUGAGGCCUUCAGUCAGGGGCUGGCAUCUGGGAGAACCUUGAAACUGUUUCCCAUCCCCUUUGGCAGCAAGCAACAAGCACCAAAACGCUCCAGUUAACACCAGUGCAAUCAUCGUUAACGUGAAACAGCUGCCCGAGGCCUGGCGUAUCCACCAGACCGCCCCCUCCCCUCCAUGCUCAGCUAGACCUGGGUUGAAUUUGCUUUCUGGUCACUUACAGUCCUCUAAAGCACAGACAAGAAAUCUUUUUUGCAUAAAUAACUUGUAUGUGUUCAUUCCCAGAGGAAGUUGUCCGCAUAAGCAAACAUCACCCAGAUAUAAGUUUAACCUCUUUAAUCUUCCCCUCCACCCUGUCCACAAGGACAUACCAAGCUUUCCAAAAUCCAGGCAGAACUCCAGUUCUCCGACCCAGAAAAAGCCUGGCCUCACUCUCCACCUCCAGCUCAGCACUCAGGCCUGGCAGGCCACCGGCUGCAGAAAGAUCCUCCUCCCCUUCCCCACCCAAGCAGUUGUGUUUCCCAGCAAAAAAUCGGACCCUCAGCUGCUACCGCAGCCACAUGAUCCACUCAGUGACUCACAGGCAGGCCACACCCCUUCAGGCCUCCCGGCCAGGCUCUGCUCCCAGCCAGCUAACUCUGGGAUGCAUCUUAUUACCAAAGGGAACAACUAGCUAACUAAUGCCCUUGACAGUCCAAAUAAUUACUUUCUUUCAUUAGAAGAACUUGCUUAUAAAAUAUAUACGGGCUGAGAGGACGCAGGCUCUUCUGAACUCUGGCUCUGCCAGCUCUCCAAGUCCUCCCCCACCAUGCCAAGACCUGGGGAAUGGCAGACAUGGUUAGCUGGGAAGCUAGAAAGCUAAGACAUUCCUGUUUAAAAAGAAAGCUCUUACAUGUUAAUACCUUUUUUUCCCAAAAAUUUUAUUGGGGGAAAACUACAAAACAUUUACAGUACAAUGUUUACAG